AGCUGAGGCUGCGCGCGCAGCCGACGGUCGCGCGCGCAUGUUCGCGCGUUUCCGGUGGCGGGAAAACCGCGCGAUUACGAAAGCGCGUUACUGCAUCGCUCGCGGCUCCUCUCCUCUCACCUGCACCUUUUCGCAUUUUUGCCACAUUUGUUUCGAGCGAGCACGUACUGAGGAUGUGUUGACGGAGAGAGGAAGAGCCAAGGAUAACGAUUACAGACGUGAGGUCGUGAGAUAUACGUAUAUCUGUAGAAAGUUAUAAACAAAUGCAUCAGAGAGAAUAACAGUUGCUUUUCUUAUAAUAUAGGGAAUAAGAUUAUAUAGAAAGUAAAAACUGAAAUUUUCAUUAAAUAUUCAAUUAUCCAAAUAAUAGAAAGGAGAUGUAAUAUUCCAAAGUUGCUUGGCUAUUGAUGUGAUAAAAUGAUAACCCAGACAGCAUACUACAUGUCCAAGUGGGACAUAAGAUGUCUUUAAGAUGUCUUUAAGUCGACUUUAAGACAUCUGAACAUAAGACGUUUUUAAGUUGUCUUAAAGAUGUCUUAAAGACAUCUUAUGUCUCAGUUUUGGACAUUGUGCUGUUUGGGAAAUGUCUUUUGAUAAUCAUUAAUUUCCUAUUCAUAGAAUUUAUAAGUACUGUGUAUUUAAUAGUAUUUAUAAUUGUUGUCGACUCAAAAUCUAAGUUUGUAUUAAUAAUAAUAACACUUUUAUUAUUACAGGAAAAAAGAUUAAUAUUAUAGAGUAUGCAAAAAGAAAACCAUCAAUAAGACAACUGAAGCUGCAAGUAUUGAUUUACCUAAGUCUUUGAUAAAUAUCAAUAUGUGGCAUGAAGGAACAACACUGCACUGAAUUCAGGCAUUAGUGUGAUAUCAGUCAAUAAUGCAGCAACAAGUUGUGCAAAUGGAACAUACACAGAGGAUAUAAAAAACUGAAAGAAAGAUUUCAUUUACAGUGUACUCUCCAAUACGUUCAAACCGAAGGUGUCAUUCGUGAGAUGACGCUGGCAGGCUAGAGGUCUGUGGAGUGCUUUCGGGGCAGAAAUACAGUAUCGUAAAAAUUUCACGAGAUUCUGUUAAAACACAUCACGCCGUUCACGUUCGACGUUUCGUAUAAAAAAUUCGUUAGAACCAAAUGAGAGGAAGGAAACGUCGAUAGAGAGCUCGAGUUCGCGUAUAGAUUUUACAGACGGCAGAUCUGCAUGCGAGUAUUAUUAUAUCCCCUAGCGAUUAUCGGGAGAUUGUAGAGGAAGAUUGCUGAGAAUUGCAAGAGGUACGAGAGACCGAUUGUCUUAUAAACGGCGAUACUUUGGGACACGUGAGCGUACGUAAUCUCUCUCUCUCUCCCUCGAGGAGUCUUACAUUUGGAUAUGUUCUCUAAUCAGUCAUUGUGCGCGGGACAGUUCCGUUACAGUUCCGUGGUGAUCUCGUCCUGCGGCCGGAAGCCGAGGAUCGUGAAGUCGUCGAUGAGGUAAUCGCGCGCGGGUGACCAGUCCGACAGGAUGGUGUAAUUCGCCGCCUCAAUGGUGCUCUGGAACUCCCACUGGGGAUUCAGGUCGCGGUCCAGGCCGUCGUUGCACUCGUCGUGUAAGCCGCCGCCGCGGUUUGCAGCUCCAGCGGAUUCCGGCAACUGCGCGCCGGAACCGACGUUGUAGGUAUGAUUGAACGCACUGAUCGCCAGUUCCUGGAGGCGCGAAUUGCCGGGACUCUUUGGCGCCCGCUUUUGGCUGCCGGCGUAGACCAACGGCGUCGUUUGACCGAUUCUCUCGGAACCACUUGGACUGAGCUUCUCGUGAUUGUACAGCACCGAACUGUUCUGACCCAAGCUCGAGCUAACGGGACUGUCCUUUGCGUAGCCGAGACUCGAGCUCGCCGGACUGAUGCUCGACUUGUCGCUCGCCUGAAACGUGGCGAGCGGCACGUUCGCUUGGAAUGUCGUGAGAUUAGUGGGGGUGGUCCUCGGCUCGUACGGCUGGGGUGUCUGCGACGUCGCGACCGCCGGCUGCGACGGCGGUGGUAUCAUUUGGACGGGACUCGUCGGCUGCUGCAGGAACGUCACGAGCUGAGCCACCUUGAAGUCGAAAGAGUGCAAUGAGCGUCGUCGUUGGAGGAUUUGUCAAGACAACGUGUACGUAAACACAAAUCAAAUCGGCAUUGUUGUUGAGAGAGGAAGGGAGCUUUCGACGCGGGAAACUACGGUCUAAUAUUAUUUUUCUCGUUCCUUUUUUCUUCUAUUUUUCCAACACAAUAAACGCACAAAUUAUUCGGUUGCGGGAAAUGCAAGGUGAGAGAACCGUUCGUAUGCGUGGAUCUGCUGCGCUACUACACGGUUUUGCAUACAACUGGAUGAUGUGUAACUCACCAAAGUGCUUUAAGGACUGGCGUGAAAAAGAAUCGAAAAUGUAAGAUAAGAAGCGUCAUCGUUCUCAUACACGACGACAGAGAUAUUCCGCGGGAAGUAAAAAUUCUUACUUCUGGAGAACUGUGCCUCUUAUAUCUUCUCAGCAGCCGCUCUGCCCAUGAAAAUAGUCUUUGCCAGUCAUCAGGCGGAAGCGGUAUCUCGUCGUCUCUUCUGUUCACCAGGACCAAUAUCCUCGCCAGAUCACGUAACACUGGUCUGCAACGACAAUCACAAAGUAGUAAGGCUAACAACCAACCAGCAAACCUCCACGUUACUGUACUCGCGUGUACCUGUACGCCUGGAUUCCGACGGCUCCAUCUCCGUUAUUUCCCGAAUAAUACAAUUCCCUGACUUGUCGUCUGGUGUCGUUGAGCAUCGCGAGGAAGGUGUUGGCCUCUCCCCUGAGCGUCGCCAGGUGCUUCAGAAAUUCUCUCCUCUCCGCACUGAAAUCGUAAAAACGCACUGUUAACCAACGAAGACGGGACGAACAAGCUCGUCAGUCGAACGAACCUAUCCUCGUAUUGCUGCACCAGCUUUGCCGCUCUCUUCUUCCUCCGAUGCACGACUAUCGCGCCGCACACGAUGAUGAAGAUGCAGAUCGUGGCGCCGGAGACCACUCCCACCAGGAUCGCGACCUGGCUACCGGUGAGGCCGAACAUGUAGCCGGUCUCUCGGCAAAUGCGACCCAUGUACUCGUCCCGGGUCGACCAGUCGGCCACGAAACCCGGUGGACAGGUAUGCACGCAGGUGCCCUGAUGUAGCAAGACCGCGCAUCUCGCGCACGUCCCGUCCCUGCAUCUCCUGCAUCCGGUCUCGGACUCGACGCAUUCCACUGCAAAUAUCAACGUUCAUUAGGAUCCACUUCGGAUUUCGACAAGUACAUUUUGAAUUAUUUUCGAGGUUCCUUGAGGAAAUCUCUCAGAGUUUCAUCUAAGGCUCCUGCUCUCUCGCCGCGGAGCUCUUAAUUGGUGACAUCAGAAGCGAGGAAAUGCGUGCCCAACAUCUCUGUAAGAUACGUCGAAAUAAGAUAUAUCCAAGAAUGACACAUGCAAUCGACUUUAAGCACGCCUCCAAAAUACUCCGCAAACACUUUCCUUUUGUUCUAGUCAAUAAAUAAUCGUAAAAUUCACGUAACAAAAUAAUGGGGAAGUGUAGGUUAAACAGGAAAGUUAGUGUAGGUUAAACACGUCACGUUAAUUUUAUGGCUAACUGAUUGUUAAAGCAAUAAGGAAGUGUUCAGAGUAUUUGAGAAUUAUGCUUAAUAGACUGCAAAUGUCACUUUUUAUUUCGACAUAAUUUGCAAAGAUUUUGGGCAUGCAGUUCUGACGUUAUGAAGAUAGCUGGGGUAAGGAACCAAGAGUUUAAAAUUUGUGAAUGAAUAUCACGAAAGACUUAUCUAAAUACUACUUGUCUUCUAGUGAAGUUCCAGUCAAGAAAGCAGAACGAUAUAGCUGAAUGCUUGUAAGAACAACAAAUGACGCAAUCACGAUGCUGAUCACGGUGUGGAUAUCGAAAUGUAUCAACCAGAGAUCGACGGAGAGCUUCGCGCACAUCUAGCGCGACUAGAUACCGAUAUCCGCAAUGUGUGUCAAACAUUUGGGGCCACCGCUCGAGGCUGUGGAUCACCGGUCUCGCGACGAGAAUUCGAUUCGCGCCACCUCGUUCGCUCCUAUGGCAUUUCACGAGGCGCUCGCGAUCCUGCCGGAUAGCGCGAAUCGUUAUUUACACACGGAAAAAAAACUUUGGUUGGAUCAACCAAAUACCCAGUGAAGUAUGAACGAAUUGGAAAAUUGAAAUUACCAGAAUUCUGUGUUCAAGUUAAUUACUCAGAUAGCACAGAGAAUUCAAAAAGAAUUCAGUAUGUCAUCAAUUCUGAGUUCAUUUUUAGAUGCAAAAAGAAUUUUUCUCACUGACUUUGAAGAAUUCUUUUUCUAUCUGAAAAUAAACUCAGAAUUGGUGACAUACGAUUGAAUUCUUUUUGAAUUCUCUGUGUUAUCUGGGUAAACUCUUAACCAUUCUGGAAAUCUUGUUUGAUUAAUCAAUUUUAUAAACUUGAAUUCUGGCAACUUUAAUCGAAAUUUUCUGACUCGUUCACAUUUCAUCAGAUACUUGGUUAAUCCAAUCAAAUGUUCCGCGCGUACAAUGAAACAACUGAUACGUAGAGAGUAAUUCUUUACAGUAAAAAUAAACGCGAAAUCAAUAUCGUCGCGGUGUUCAUUUUAUGAACAAUGGCCAUCACUAUUUUAUCAUAUAUGAUAACAAAUAUCAUUGUAAAUAUAUGAUGUCACCUGAACAUCGCCCGCUAAUUAUUCCGCAUAAUUUCGCAUGCAUUUAAAUAAUGCGCAUACUACCCAAAUCGCGUGCGCGAGCUGUUUUUCUCGGAAACUGUAACGAGGACAGCGAAUGAGGGUUUCUUUCUGUUCGGGUAUGCUUCAGGCUUCAUCGAGAUCCUUCUCUGCGGGAUAUAUUUAUAUUCUCGAUUAGUGCGUCCUCUUCCUUCUCGCUCGACGGCCAGAUACAUCACGGAGAUUGUGAGCGGGAAGGUAGCUGGACACGGAUAGCACUAGAGAAAAUCGGAAGACGUGUGCGUGUGCAAGGGAGAGAGAUUCUCUCGGUCCGCUGAGGGUUCAUUAGUACGUGUAUGAGGAAUGCGGUUGCUGGUUUCUCGAUUAUGUGGGUCUAUAAACGCUGCGCCGCGUCACAGAGCGGGCCCCGACGGAAUACCGCCGGUCACACACAUUCUCCAGGUUGAGAACACUAGGUCGAGCCCGUUUCCCCGGUCCGUCGCCGCGGACUGUGUGUUCCGUGAGCCCCGGGGUCGCCUGUUUACUUUGCCGCCGAGAUCCUUCGCGGCUCGACUCGUCGAUUAUUGCACGAGAGAAUUCCCGCAGAUAUCGGGAAUAUGAGUACCUCCUCGUGGGCGCUUUAACUUUCUACGGCUUCUUCCUUCUCCCGCUUCUUCUCGCUGGUCGCGAUUAGCGGUCGGCGCACGCGACCCCUGUGGAAAAUAUAUCGCAUCUUCGAUUCGUUCGUCGUGCGAGCGACGCACGUACGUACACGUUCUCCCGUAGAAAGUGCCGCGUGGCGUAUAUCGCAGAAAUCGAUAAAUCACGACUUAUAUCCUUGUUAUUUGUGAUCAAGUUCGUUAUAGAAAGCGCCCAUCGAUAAUGGGCUCAACAAAAUAAAACCUGUUUUUGUCUUAAGUUUUA